UGCAAGUCGAACGAUGAACCACUUCGGUGGGGAUUAGUGGCGAACGGGUGAGUAACACGUGGGCAAUCUGCCCUGCACUCUGGGACAAGCCCUGGAAACGGGGUCUAAUACCGGAUACUGACCUCCACAGGCAUCUGUGGGGUUCGAAAGCUCCGGCGGUGCAGGAUGAGCCCGCGGCCUAUCAGCUUGUUGGUGAGGUAAUGGCUCACCAAGGCGACGACGGGUAGCCGGCCUGAGAGGGCGACCGGCCACACUGGGACUGAGACACGGCCCAGACUCCUACGGGAGGCAGCAGUGGGGAAUAUUGCACAAUGGGCGAAAGCCUGAUGCAGCGACGCCGCGUGAGGGAUGACGGCCUUCGGGUUGUAAACCUCUUUCAGCAGGGAAGAAGCGAAAGUGACGGUACCUGCAGAAGAAGCGCCGGCUAACUACGUGCCAGCAGCCGCGGUAAUACGUAGGGCGCGAGCGUUGUCCGGAAUUAUUGGGCGUAAAGAGCUCGUAGGCGGCUUGUCGCGUCGGUUGUGAAAGCCCGGGGCUUAACCCCGGGUCUGCAGUCGAUACGGGCAGGCUAGAGUUCGGUAGGGGAGAUCGGAAUUCCUGGUGUAGCGGUGAAAUGCGCAGAUAUCAGGAGGAACACCGGUGGCGAAGGCGGAUCUCUGGGCCGAUACUGACGCUGAGGAGCGAAAGCGUGGGGAGCGAACAGGAUUAGAUACCCUGGUAGUCCACGCCGUAAACGGUGGGCACUAGGUGUGGGCAACAUUCCACGUUGUCCGUGCCGCAGCUAACGCAUUAAGUGCCCCGCCUGGGGAGUACGGCCGCAAGGCUAAAACUCAAAGGAAUUGACGGGGGCCGCACAAGCGGCGGAGCAUGUGGCUUAAUUCACGCAACGCGAAGAACCUUACCAAGGCUUGACAUACACCGGAAAGCAUUAGAGAUAGUGCCCCCCUUGUGGUCGGUGUACGGUGGCAUGGUGUCGUCAGCUCGUGUCGUGAAUGUUGGGUUAAGUCCCGCAACGAGCGCAACCCUUGUCCCG
rnacentral:rRNA from 1 species